rfam:Pan troglodytes isolate Yerkes chimp pedigree #C0471 (Clint) chromosome 9, whole genome shotgun sequence.
GCCGGGCGUGGUGGCUCACGCCUGUAAUCCCAGCACUUUGGGAGGCUGAGGUAGGUGGAUUACCUGAGGUCAGGAGUUCGAGACCAGCCUGACCAACAUGGUGAAACCCCAUCUCUC